UACAGAGGGGGCAAGCGUUGUUCGGAAUUACUGGGCGUAAAGCGCACGUAGGUGGCGACGUAAGUCGGGUGUGAAAGCCCCGGGCUCAACCUGGGAAUUGCAUUCGAGACUGCAUUGCUGGAGUACGGAAGAGGAAGGCGGAAUUCCCGGUGUAGCGGUGAAAUGCGUAGAUAUCGGGAGGAACAUCAGUGGCGAAGGCGGCCUUCUGGUCCAGUACUG
rnacentral:rRNA from 1 species